rnacentral:rRNA from 1 species
AGUUUGAUUAUGGCUCGAAUUGAACGCUGGCGGGAUGCUUUACAUGCAAGUCGAACGGCGGCACGGACUUCGGUCUGGUGGCGAGUGGCGAACGGGUGAGUAAUGUAUCGGAACGUGCCUAGUAGCGGGGGAUAACUACGCGAAGCGUAGCUAUUACCACAUACGCCCUUCGGGGGAAAGCGGGGGACCUUCGGGCCUCGCACUAUUAGAGCCCGGCGGAAAAUAUCGGAUUAGCUAGUUGGUGGGGUAACGGCUCACCAAGGCGACGAUCCGUAGCUGGUUUGAGAGGACGACCAGCCACACUGGGACGGACACGGCCCAGACUCCUACGGGAGGCAGCAGUGGGAAUUUUGGACAAUGAAACCUGAAGUCCAGCCAUCCCGCGUGUGCGAUGAAGGCCUUCGGGUUGUAAAGCACUUUUGGCAGGAAAGAAACGGCACGGGAUAAUACCCCGUGCAACUGACGGUACCUGCAGAAUUAAGCACCGGCUAACUACGUGCCAGCAGCCGCGGUAAUACGUAGGGUGCAAGCGUUAAUCGGAAUUACUGGGCGUAAAGCGUGCGCAGGCGGUUCGGAAAGAAAGAUGUGAAAUCCCAGAGCUUAACUUUGGAACUGCAUUUUUAACUACCGAGCUAGAGUGUGUCAGAGGAGGUGGAAUUCCGCGUGUAGCAGUGAAAUGCGUAGAUAUGCGGAGGAACACCGAUGGCGAAGGCAGCCUCCUGGGAUAACACUGACGCUCGCCACAGCGAUGAGGCAAACAGGAUUAGAUGCCCUGGUAGUCCACGCCCUAAACGAUGUCAACUAGCUGUUGGGGCCUUCGGGCCUUGGUAGCGCAGCUAACGCGUGAAGUUGACCGCCUGGGAAAUACGGUCGCAAGAUUAAAACUCAAAGGAAUUGACGAGGACCACUGGCUUGAUGGAUGAUGUGGAUUAAUUCGAUGCAACGCGAAAACCUUACCUGCCGCCGACAUGUCUGGAAUCCCGAAAGAGAUUUGGGAGUGCUCGCAGAGAACCGGAACACAGGUGCUGCAUGGCUGUCGUCAGCUCGUGUCGUGAGAUGUUGAGUUAAGUCCGCAACGGCGCAACCCUUGUCAUUAGUUGCUACGAAAGGGCACUCUAAUGAGACUGCCGUCGACAAACCGGAGGAAGGUGGGGAUGACGUCAAGUCCUCAUGGCCCUUAUGGGUAGGAGCUUCACACGUCAUACAAUGGUCGGGACAGAGGGUGCUAACCCCGCGAGGGGAGCCAAUCCCAGAAACCCGAUCGUAGUCCGGAUCGCAGUCUGCAACUCGACUGCGUGAAGUCGAAUCGCCUUAGUAAUCGCGGAUCAGCAUGUCGCGGUGAAUACGUUCCCGGGUCUUGUACACGCCCGUCACACCAUGGGAGUGGGUUUUACCAGAAGUAGUUAGCCUAACCGUAAGGAGGGCGAUUACCACCGACGGGAUUCAUGACUGGGGUGAAGUCGUAACAAGGUAA